GAAGCAUCUCUACUUAGCGAUUGCUUCCUUUGGGAGUUUCUAUCAAGUUAUGGUCCUUGGAAAGAGGUAACCUAUUCCCUCUUUAUUACCAGACUGUAGCCAGAGCCUUUCUUAGGAAUACAGGAAUACCUGGAGUGUUAACAACCUGCUGACUGUUGAGAAGGCUGAAGACUUGUCAGGAAGCUACUAGAAGAGCAGGCUGCAAGCUCCAAAGACAAGAGCCAUCUGUUAGCCAAUACAGAAAUUUGUACAAGUCUGUCAAGAAUAGGUUUUUCUCAACCCAUUCCUGUAACCGAGAGUGUUCUUAUUAAUGUGAGAAGUUAGCUGUGUGCAGGGAAGCCCAAGAGAGACUUCAGGAACUGAAAAGGAGAGAAAUGUGGAAUGAGAUACCCCAGAGGAACCCACAGCCAUGGCCCUGGACUAUGCAAUGCAUUGCUGGAAGAGCUGCCUAAACGCACCAAUCUUGUUGCCUAUGGGGACUGGGAGGUCACAUGAAGAACUGCUGUAAUAACCUACCUGACUUCUGGACUUCAUCACCUUUCCUGUGGAACAGGGAAGUCUUUUAAUUAAAAAAAAAUAAUAAUUGCACAGACCAGUGAUUAAAGUAUUUUUGUAUCCUUGA